GUCUAUGGCCACACUACCCUGAACAAGCCUGAUCCCGUCUGAUCUCGGAAGCUAAGCAGGGUCGGGCCUGGUUUAGUACUUGGAUGGGAGACCACCUAGGAAGACCAGGUGCUGUAAGCA
rnacentral:rRNA from 1 species